UGGUAUUUCCAUAGGCGUCUCAGAAUGUUUCAUUGCUUUUCAGACAUCUUGCAGCUGUCUGGGGCUUUUUAAUUCUAGAAAAGUUCCUCUUGCUAUCCCAAAAUCUCAUGCUGAACAUUUUAUCUGGCAAUUUAUAAUAACUUGCAGUCUAGUACCCAUUUCCCUGUAAAUGACAAUACCACUAGUAGGGAUCCCAGAAGAAGGACUUUUAAUAACCUUUAGAGCCAUAAUCUGUUUCCUGCAGUAACUGUUAAUACCUUUACAACUAGAGAUACCAGUUAAGAUUAGAUGAACAGAAAUUGUAAUGGAGAUGCAAAAAAUAAAGAGAAAAGUGAGGCGUUGGUCACAGUCUUAGUUUUAUGACCUCAUUUUGCAAUUGGAGUUUUGUACAAUAGUGAUAAGCGUCUCAGCACUCCAGGAUGAAUGAUUAAAUAUGAUGUGACUAACAAGUCACAAUGGAGGCUAAUAUCUUACAAGCUGCACCCUGGCUUCUAGAAAAGGAGUUUUGAUGGGAAAAGUUUUAAUAAAGAAAUGCUUUCCAAGGAACAACUACAGUUAGGAGGAGGAGAUUAUAUUUCAAACUGAGACUGACAGCAUUUUUAUAGCUUUGGCAGCCAUCUAUCUAGAAGAGAGAAGAACGAAAAGGAUCAAAAUACCUUCUGACAGCUACUUAUCUUGUAAAAAAGUACAAAUCUUCUGUUUUUUCUUUUUCCUUAUUUUUCAGUGUUUAAGUAAUAGAAAUUAAAGUUACUUAAGGUCUUGAUAGUAUUGCUUUUACUGUGAUGAAGCCUUCUACGCUGCUUCCCCUCUUAAAGUCAUGAGAGACAUCAUGAACUCAUGUUUUCCUGUUGAGAGUGCUCUGUUACUGAUAUUCAAACGCAUCGCAUAGACUUCAGUCUAGAGGCUGGAUUGUCACACUCAGAGAGUCGCAGUCAUCGACUCAAUAUCCUAGUGGAGAAACAGAAGGUUUCUGGAAGUUUGUCAGGACCUAUUGAAGCAAUGUGAGACUGAAGAUGACAGUUUCCUGGAUCACAGCAAUGCUAGUGAUGCAAUGUGGUGUCACCACUAUGAGCCAGAAUCAGAACAGCAGUCCACGGAGAGAUGACGUGUGAAUUUCCCCAUCAAGGAAAAAGUUUAUGAAGCAACUUCAGCAGCUAAACUGAUAUGUGCUGUCUUUUGGGAUAGGAAGGGGUAAUCUUUCUGCAUUUCCUGGAACCUGGACAGACCAUCAACUCUCACCUCUACAUCCUGAAACUGACUAAGUUGAACACUUGGACUUCCAAAGUUUGAUCAGAUAAGAAGACAACCUUUUCUUGCAACAAUAUAGUGCCAGGCCCCAUUUGAAAACUGUGGAGCAUGUUGCCAGUCUUGACUGGACUGUCCUACCACAACCAACAUAUAGUUCUUCUGACUUCCAUCUGUUCAGGUUGAUGAAAAUGGACUGUAUGGGAAAUAUUUUCCUAGCAACAAUGCUGUCAUAGCAUCUGUGAAACAGUGGGUUACCUCCAUUGGUGCAUAUUUUUACAAGCGUGGCAUGCAGGUUCUUAUUCAUCACUGAUGAAAAUGCAGAGCUAAUGGUGGUGACUGUGUUGAAAAAUAGAUUUUUUUAGCUGAGAAUUUGCUCUAUCCAAUAGUGUUACUGUGCUUUCUGUAUCUGCUAUAGUUUCCAUGGAAAUAAAUAGGAGGAAUUAGUUUCUGAGUGACCUAUGUAUAUUCUACUUCAGUUAGUUUCCAUGUGAUCUGAAUCAUGCCUCAUGCUAUACAUGAAAGCAGAAAAACAUAAAGCUGAUAUGUUAAUGCUGGAUGUGGCUCUGGGCAGCCUGAUCUAGUAGUUGGCGACCCUGCCCGUGGCAGGGGGCUUGAAACUAGAUGACCUUUGAGGUCCUUUUCAACCCAGCCAUUCCAUGAUUCUAUGCUGUAAUGUGGAAAUUAAAAUGGUAAGUUGGAAUAUGGGAAAAUAGUUGAAGUAACUGUUUUUCCAAACAGAUGGUGGAGUGUUGCACAUCACUGAGACAGAACCAAUUUUGAUUUUUCUUUGGAAAGAAGUACAAGCUCACAUUAGGAAAGCAGCAUUACUAUAUAUUGGAAAACCACAGUUGAUAAAAAAAAAACCCUAACCAAAUUUAGCAGAUAAAAGGAUUACUGUACUAUAUAUCCUAACAAAGGUUAAUUAAGCUACUGAAAAUUCUACUCUUUGGCACUUCCAUUUUUGCUUAAACUUGACUGAUCUUAAAGCCAUUGUCCACAAAAAUAUUUUAUGAGGCACAUAUGAGAUUUCAAAAUAUAGGCUUUAUUAUGUUAGUAAGUGACUAUGAUAAUUUGCCUAAUAGUCUAGUUGCAUCACUGGCUGCUGCCAUUAUAAAAUCUUCAGUGAUGCUUAAAAAAAGCCUCGUGGUUUUGUAAGCAGUUUAUGACAGGCUGUUUGGAAAUCAUAAUAUUACUGAUGUCAUAAGCAACAGCUGUUUCCACAUUCAAGAGAAGUUAGAAUGACUCAGUAAAGUCAGGUGGGGAAACAGACGUCUAGUGAUUCUUACUAACAUGAAAUAUCAGCUUAGAGAUUAUUUCAGAACAUCACAUUGGAGUCCAGAUGGUUUGUGCAUCUUAAGAAAAAUAUAAGCAAAGAUAAAAAAAGAAGCUGAUUGAAAUUGUGUAGGUGUUCAGAAGUAGACAAAUGCAAAAAAGGAUUUCAUGUAAGUUUCACUCUUCUUUCAAGAAUGUCCUCUGGUAGUGCUUAUAUGAUCCUUUUAUUUCCUUUCCAAAACAAAAGAAACAAACAAACAAAACCAAAAAACAUGAAUUUCCUUUUACUUGCCCAAACAACUCUCCAAAAUCAAAGUUCAGUCCUCUAUGGAAAUACAUACCUCUGCUUUCUUACUGUUCAUGUGUAAGGGCAGUUUAUAUCCAUUAUAUAAAACAGUUAUCAAGAGCCUUAGAAAGAGCAUUUACAGUAUAGAAAAAAGUUUUUAGAGUUGUGUUUACAAGUUAUGCUUGCUAAAAUAGGGACAGGUGAAUUCUAGAGAACUGUUCAGACACUCUGGAUCUCACAGCUUCCUUAACCCUGGAAUUUUAAGGAUUUCAAAGUCUGUCCAUUUGAAUGCAGUCCUUUAUUGGCCUUGCUUCAGCGGCAGUCAGACGGAUUUGAUCUGCCCUGUGCUGAUUCUUCCUCCUUGCCAUCUUACAAUAUGCUGUUUUGUUCCCUGGGAAAAGCAAAGCAAUUGCUAACAGAUGAUUUGGCUUCAGGCUGCUUUUACCAUCUGUGGAAGAAGGGCAUAAUUUCAAAUGUUAAACAGCCUGACCAUAGCUACUAGUACUGUUGCACCUUGGCUACUGAAAACCUAGAGAAAUGUCAAAUUUCUUUCUUUUCUGCUACAUAGAUAUUUCUGGGUGAGAGCAGGCAGAUGUUUAGAGUAAGCUCAUUAGGGAAUAACCUGACUUCACUCAUAAGCUUCUGACAAGUUUGGGCCACUGAUGGUAAUUUCUGUAGCUGACCAGCAUCUGAGAUGCCUGACAGUGUGGUGAAGUAUGAUCUUUCAGGGAAAAAAUAUAAUCAUGUAUCACAAUUAACUAGCAAAAUCCAGGCUUUGAAUAUUGAAUACCUACUAGAGAUUGAUAAGUUCUAUAAAACCAUAUUCAAAACUUGAACAACACUUUCAUCAGUAAGAUAGUAUUUCAUGACAAAUCACACUGAAAAACUUCCAUUGUUUCCAAAAUGUAAAAAAAUAGAAUAAAACUGAAAUGAUAUCAUCAAGACAUGACAAAAAAAAAAUUCUAGAAGUUAAGAGGGCAACCCUGGCAAAUAAAUUUUUUAAUACAAAUUAGUUUGUCAAAAUGGUGAAUGUUAACAAUUAAGUACUACGUAAAGGUGAGAACCAUUAAAAUUACAUGUCCACAGUACAUAAAACUAGAACAAAGAAAAUUAUCCCCGUCUCUUUUGCUGCUCUUUGAAAAAGUUGAUAAAUAAAAGUGAUGCAACAUCAGUGAUUUAGCUGAUUUCAAUGUCUUUUCUCUGAACUAUAAAGAUGAAGUGUUAAAGAACAAGGCCCUGAAACCUGACUUAGAAAUGCAGGAGAAAAGAAAAAGAAUGGGCUACUAUAUAAAGUAAAAGCAGCAGAAUUCCUUGCUGGUUGUUACUUACUUAGGUUAGUUAUUUGUGUGUGAUUUAUAGAGGUGGAUAGCAACUCAGUGUUUAUUUGGUAAUGCAGAACUGCUUUUUAAGUGUAAGUCAUGGCAUAUUGUGAGAAGUGCCACAUUUAAUAUUUGUGACUGAAAUUCUCCACACAUCUGCUUAAAUUCUUCUGUUUUGUGAAAUAAAUUGAGUUAAGGAAUUGUAUGAUGAUUUUAGACUGCACUGUGCUUAAUUUUUUGUAGAGAUCCAUUCAGUGUUCUUUAAGAAAUCCAGUGAAACUACAGAGCGUUAUUCUUAGAACAAGUACAAUGAAAAAAAGAGAGUGAAAAAAAAAAAAAAAAAAACUUUGUUCAAAGCAAUUUUGUACAAAAUUUGCUCAUUUUGGUUACUAUUACUUUACAUAUUCCAUGCCUGGAAUGAGAAUUAAUGCUUGCUGUGUGAAUAAACUUGGCAUAUUUUUGCCAUUUAAACAGAAAUCACCUGUGGUAUUAGGCUGCAUUUUUGAGGAACUGUAAAGUGAUUAAUUAUGCUGCACAGAAGUAGCCAAGAUGAAGUACCAAGGCUACUUCCUUCUGAAGUGUUGAGUGUGCCAGUCUCCCUGUCAUUUAGCCAUCUAUUUUUGACAAGAUGCAGACUGAUAAAUAAUUGGCAGGAUUCUACUGUACUUGUCUAGGUUAAUGCCUAACAAUAUGGGCCUGUUUUCUCUAACUGAUUUUAGGAGCGCUAUUAAAAGUGUGUAAAAUUUCUAGUGAGAUUACGUAAGGCAAUCACAUAAGGAAAUUAGGGAGAUAUGUUCUUUCUAUUUUCAGUAUUGCACAGCUCACUAAGUGUACUUGAUUCGUUUUUUAGAGAUCCUAACCCUAACUCUUUUCCUUCUUCCCUCUGUCCUCACAGUAAACUUCAACUUCUUGUUUAUAUGGGAAAUUUUCUGUUGUUUAUGACACCCAUGAAAGUUAAAGAUAGCUAACAAGUCACCCAAUCUAGUCUAUCAUUCUUUCAGUGUAGCAUUCUCCUUAUGGCACAUUUUCUUCUGUUUUGUUCAACUUACUUUCACAAGUCCUAGGCAAUUCUACCACUUUGCCUAGGAGACAUUUCCCCAGUUUAAUAGAUUUCACCAUCAGCAAGAGCGAGAUCUGUCCACAGCAGAUUAAAAUGACCACAGUUCUUACCACCUUCUAGACAAAAUGUCAGCCCCAUCUGUCCACUGUAGCUUUCCUGCAAUAAAAAAAAAAAAAAAAGAAAAAGGAAAAAAAAAAAAAAAGCAUUGAAAUCAAUAGGUAACGGGCACAAUGAGGAAGAAAUCUACUUGCAAAGGAAAGGAUGCUCUGAAAGAGACAAAACAUGAAUGUAUUCAGACUAAUGCUGAUUUGAUUGAUCAGGGUUUUUUUUUUUUUCUUUUUCUUUUCUUUCUUUUCACUGUUAAGCCUUUUGACAUCAUGGUAGUGAUUGUAGUUAAAAUAGCUAGCUCGAUGAGAGAGAUAGAGAGAGCCAGGAAGUCAUAAUAAUGAAACUGGUUUCUAUAACAACAGAUGGAGUACCAGCUAUGAAUGGACUAAAGCACGUUGUCUGCAGAAAGAACCCUGAUUUUCCACCCCUUUGAAUUGUCACUGCAUUGCAUAUCAGUAAAUGCUAAAUGGAAAAACACUUGAUACAGAGGCAGUAGAAAAGAUUAACCCUUUAUAAGCCAGUGAAUUUUGUAACAACACAAAGCUAGUUUACUGUGUUAUUUUAUUGACAUAGUGUUGGCUGCACCAUUUAUUGUGCAAAUAUACAGAGAAGAACAUUCACUAAGCGUUAAAAUGGUGCACUCGAAACAAAAAGACGCUGAAGAUAUAAAGUGAUAAGGGGAAUAGCAUGUUUGAACUUUUGGUUUCCAGCUUAUUGUCUUAGCCUUAACUGCAUAAGGUGAGAGAGAGGGAAUGGUUAAAGCAUAAGAGUUGUAUAAACAUAUUGUUUUAUGUCAUUUGCACACAUGAUAGUUUUAUAGCUUAUGCAUCCACAAGAAAUAUACACAAACAUUGGACUAAAUUUCUGGUAUUGUCAUAUAAAUCUUGAGAAAGAAAAGAAGCUAUCAGUACCCUUUUAAAAAUCUUUUAAGAUUAGUUUUUAACUGUAUCCAAGGUCUUUAUUUGAGACAAGCCUUUUAGUAAAUAUAUUAAAAUACAUUUCAUAUUAAGAAAAAAGAAAUUGUGAAUUAUGGAUGUGGUUGCUGCCAGUUUGUAUCCGGAACUGCAGAGCUUUGGGUACUCAACAGAACUGCCCACUGAACAGAAAAGAAGAUUUAUGCAGCAUCAUUUAUAUUUGCUCCAAACUUUGAUAACUCACCAGCCAGCCUGCAAAGACUUAUGACACAGUAGUAAUAUUCAGAACCAGAGAAAUACAACUGCACAUUUUUUUUUUAUUUUUUUUAGUUUGUGUAGCAGAAUGAUGCCUUACAUUUUUUCAGCAUUUAAAUAGCAGAAGAACUUUUCUGGAAGCUUCCUAUUUCAUUAUUCCACAAAACUAAAAUAUCUAAAUAUUACAAAAACCUAGGGGAGAAAAAAUAGCCACUCUCUUUUUGCUUCCCUAAUCCAGAUUUGUCAUAUCUACAUAUUACAACUGUCUGUAAGAUUUCUGACUCUUGUCUAAAGCAGAAAAACUGAUACUUCUAACUACUGCUUUGCAAUCAUCAAAGACUGGAAAUGCCAAAGACUCUGUCUGGUGAAGUAUUUCUUCAGUACUUAUUCUGAAAGAGGAGUAAAGGAACAGAAUUAUUCUUUUUCAUACUCUAUUUUCCAAAUUACAACUAUGUGUGUGAGACCUUAUGUAAGGCAAGAAAGUAAAGUUUUUCUCACUCUAUGCAUAGGUUGAACCAAUACAAUCUCAUUGCUCAGACUUUUCAGCAGUCUUCCAUUUAUACCUUCCUACUCUCCUUGCCUUGUUUUUGACACUAGACAGAGACCAUAUUUUCUUCCUUGCACUGUGAGAUUCUUAUUACACACUUGGGAACUAUAACUGAAACAAAGGAGCAAUUAAUUAUAAGUGUUUGCAGACCAGUAUAGAAAUCUGUGAAGGUGAGAAUAAAGUAAUUCAGUGAGACCUCAUAUGAAUAAUAGGAGAUCAAGAACUCUCCAGAGUAUUCAUUCAGAGACUUAUGCUUAGACAGUUCUGAGACAAAUGCAGAAAGGAAAUUAAGAGUUAAAACAAUGCAGUGGCUAUUCCAGUUAAACUUAAUAAGUGUCAGUAAUUGCUAAAUGCGUUUGAGGCAAUUUGGCUAAGUCCUUCAGAGUUCUCAAGAAAAAGGUACAUAUAGCCAUUGUCCAGCAGCCAGUAAUGCUGGGCACUGAAGCAUCACUAACAUCUCUGGAAGGCAAAGAAAUGGCAUUAAAGUAUUUAUUUUUUGUUGUCUUUAUUCUAACAAGGACAGUCUGUCUACAGAGGUUAUUUCACUUGGAAAUGGUAUAAGAAAAUUUGUUAGUAGCUGUUUGAGUAUCUUUAUUAAUGGUCUUGUUCAAAGACCAUUUAGUUUUCUGAAGGUUGGUGUCGCAAUUGUAUUUCUAAAUGUCCUUUGGGGUUAUUUGAACAAUUGCUUAAAAUACAGUCUUAAUUUAAAAAUAAUGGACUUGAAGGCUGAUAAACAAAUGCAUGUGCAGAAAUAUAUGGCACAGUAAUUCAUAAAGCUUUGAAGAUAUCAACAUGAAGAAGAAUUUUUCUCUUCCAGGGUUUGGUUUUUUUUUGUCUUUGUCUCUCCACUACUGUUGCUCUCUACUACAUUAAUUCAGAGUAAGCUUUAAAUGGAAAAAUGGGAUGACAAGGUAAAAAGGUGGGCAUUUUGGCCUAUUACUAACCUGCUGAGUCUUGUCCUCUUCUGAGCGUAUAAUCAUGGUUGCUACUAGAUCUCCACAGAAGUGCCUUAUUUUUGGUCACUGCUGCUGGUCAGCUGGGUAACGUUCUAAAAAGUCCAUGUUGUUAGCAUAAACUCUGAAUAAUAAUAUAGUGCUGUUCUUGUUUUCCUCUUAGUAGUAAAUACUUUCCUUAUCAAGUGAAAAUGAAACAGUCAAGUGUAGCCUGACUAAAAGAAAAAUCAAAUAAUUUGCUCAUGUUACUUGCAUUUAUUUUUUUGACAUUUGUUUUCAGUGAGAUGAGGGAAUUAAAGUUUAGCAGGAUAAAAGAAAUGGAAUAAGAGCUCAACAGUGAAGAAGGAAAGUGAACAGGAAGCUCAAUAAAAUUCAGUAAAGGUGAAGUGAAAUGCAGCUUAUAUUUUUUAUACAGUCUGUAGAUAAUGAGAAGAGAAAGAAAGAUGCAAGGGCCAAAAGUGUACAACUACAUUAGAAGUCCUGCGUGUAUCAGCACAUUGAGUUGUGAUGGUUAAUGUUAAGAGGCAGAGUGACUGAACAAAGAAGGAGCUAAAUUUCUUGCAUGGUUAAUCACUUUAGUAUAAUCGUUUACAUGUGGAUGUGUUUAUACUAAGUGUUUAUAUUUUACUGUUUUUACUAACAGUAAAAUAGUCCUACUGUGCUGCAAAUGAAUAAUGUCUGCAUAUAUCACUUUCAUGGUAGUUUAGAAGACAGACAAAUCAGGACAUUGUUACACUUUAAAACUAAAUUUUACUAGAUAAAUUCAUUAAGAAUGUACUUUGUGCUACUGUACAAUUCUUACACAAAUACGCUAUCACCACAUAUAUAAAAGCAUAUUCUAAAAUAGCUAUGAGUACAAACUACUGCAGAGCUGUUGUGAUAUAGUUAGCACUGAUGGCUUCAGUCCAUAGUGGCUCUGAGUUGCAAAUGUCAAGUUAAUCAAGCUUGGCAAUUUUUUCUUUAAGAGAAGUGGGACUGGCUCUUUCUCCUUUCUCGUUCCUUUCUUGUGCCUGAAGUAUUUAUGCUACUACCCUGCUACCAAAAAGGAGGUAAUUCUCUGCUUCUGCUGCUGUGUACUUUGUUUUUUGUUGGCCAGUCGUUAUCUGAUGUGUUUGGGAGAGUGCCCUGUCUAUUGGCAGUUCACUGUGCUUCCUCUUGUGCACAGUUUUUGGCAGUUUUUCCUCUUUUGUGAGACUUCACCCAUAUUUUUGCCUCUUUGAUGAUCAUAUUGUUCACGUUCUUGUGUAAAAUUGUAUCUGGAUAUGCCAUUAUAGUGUUAUGAAAUACUUAUCUACUAUUGUUAGUUACAUCAUUCUGGUAUGCUUGUACUCAGUUCAAGGCAAACUAAUAUACACUGUAUCCUGAUACCAAUCAUAUGUGGAUAUCACAGUGCCCAGCUUUCAUUACAUCUGACUUUAGAGAAGUAGCUGUGAGAAUCUGUAGAAGUGGUUCGAGAGAUUUAUAAGAAUUUGAAAGACUUAGAUCUUACAACUGAAAUCUGUUACCUGCAGUGCUUUUCAUGAAAGAUAUCAAUGAAUGGAUGAAAAACUUGUAGAGAAACAUGAGCCAGGUUAUCUUCCUGAAGGCCACAAUCUAAAUGUAUUUGGAUGUGUUAUUUUAUAUUCACUAAAAAUAACCUAUGUGUGUAAAACUGCAUAAAAGUUAGUAGCCAGUUGAAAUUUAACUUAUAGAAAAACAGAAUUAAAUCAGUGUAUCAUUUCAUUUAGAUGUGUUGCACAUGCACACUGAUGAGGAGCUGGAGUCCUUGGAUACAAGAUAGUAUUUGAAGACUUCAAGAGAAAAUGGGGUAACAGAAGAAUUAAAAGGACCAACAGUGUGUCUCCAUACUGAUAUUUCUGAUGUGCAUCCCCACGUCAGUUUAAAAGUCUCACAGUGUAUUACCCUAGCAGUGUAACUGAGGUGUGAAAGUGAACUCUUUACUUAUGCAAUUACUCAUUUCUAGUAAUUUCAUAACACGCUAUAUUCUACUUCCUUAUGUUGCCCAUAUAUGACCUAAGUAAUAAAGGAUGAUGAUCAGUUUCUGAAGUAAUUAUUGUAUAUUAGUGUAUGUAUUGAUCACUUCUGCUUAAUGCAUGCAGUAGUAACUCAGUUUCAGUGGUACCAUUCUCUGCAUUUCCUUUUGCUCAAGAACACUGUGUCACAGAUGGCUAAAACCUAUUAAACUUUAUAAGGAGACUGAUCCUAUCCUAUUAACAAGUGUGAAAUAUGUCCGGAUAUUUCAACUACUUUUGCAGUGGUACAGAAUGUAAGGACUAUUUCUGCUCAUACAGACAAUAUAAAGAGACUGCUUUAAUUGCCCUAUUUCAGCGGUAGUUAGUCAUCCCUAGAUACCUACAAAAAACAUACUUAUUGUUAUGCUACAUGAGGUUUUCUGUUUAAAACUAUUUGGAUAUGAAUCCAGAGCUUUCAGUGAGCCAUAGUUAAAAUGAAGCAGCAGUGUGUGAACAUAAAACCUACUGUACAGUUUUGCAGUGUUCAGUUCAGUUGGUGUUGUUGACUGCUGGGGAAAAGAGUUUGGCAAACCAAUGGUUCUGUGGUGUAGGCCCGUUCUCACUAAAAGUAAGCAUGAACAUUCCACAAACACCAGAGGUUCUAAAUGGCAAUUUUCUGGUGAAAAUGAAUUUUUAUUGAAAAGAAAGCUCUGAAAGAAAUUUCAAAGCAGAUUUUUUAUUUAUUUAUUUUUAAAUUGGAAAAAAAAAAAAAAGAAGAAGAAGAAGAAACAGGACACUUUCCAAAGUACUGAUAAAUAAUAUUUUUCCCCUUGGAUUUUUGUCUAUGUUUGGAAAUAAAGAAUUGCAAAGAACUGGAAGUUUUUCUGUUCUGUUUAAAUGAAUGGAAUUAAUUGGUGCUUUUUUUUUCUUGGUAAAUUCAAGUAUUCUUCAGAUUAGUAGUUGGAAAAACCUGAAUAUAAAUAUUUCCAAUUUGAAUACUAGGGAAAAAGGCUUUCACAUUUUUAAAAUACUCACAGGUUAUAAUAAUGAUUGUUUUCUGAAAAUAUAUUGUCAUAUGACAGAUUUCAUGACUGUCUCUUUCAGAAGAGUGCCUAGACCUCUGACUUCAGCUUUAUAUAUUCUUUGACUGAGAAGAAACAGUGUCUUUACUGAUGAUGUUGUAUUAUCAGGCUCAAUUUGUUGAUCCGAGGCAAAUACUAAACUUUAGGCAUUUUUCUUUCUGUUCUCUCUCUCCCCCUUUCUCUCUUUUUCUCUCCCUUUCUCUCUCUACUUUUCUUUCUCUUUUUUUCUCUUCCU